rfam:Eggerthella lenta DSM 2243, complete genome.
AGAUGCCCGGGCUCCACCCCGGGCAUCUGCGUAUCAACUCCGGUCCACCGGGUAGAAUCACAGGUGAACGAAGCGGACCCUGCGCAGGUUGCUAGCCAGUUACGCGGGCGAUGCGGAUUUCAGGUUUAAAGGCCGGGCUGCACUCCCGGCC